CAGCCGCCACGGUAAUACAGAGGGUGCGAGCGUUAUCGGAUUUACUGGGCGUAAAGCGUGCGUAGGCGGCUUUUUAAGUCGGAUGUGAAAUCCCUGAGCUUAACUUAGGAAUUGCAUUCGAUACUGGGAAGCUAGAGUAUGGGAGAGGAUGGUAGAAUUCCAGGUGUAGCGGUGAAAUGCGUAGAGAUCUGGAGGAAUACCGAUGGCGAAGGCAGCCAUCUGGCCUAAUACUGACGCUGAGGUACGAAAGCAUGGGGAGCAAACAGGAUUAGAUACCCCCGUAGUCCCUGUCUCUUAUACC
rnacentral:rRNA from 1 species